rnacentral:rRNA from 1 species
GNGCUUAACCGCAAGGAGGCAAGCGCCCAAGGUAUGACUCAUGAUUGGGGUG